UGAAGCUGUCGCUAACGCCUGCAUCUAUCUUCAAGAUAACAACAUCCCUUACAAUGUUCUCAUCGCCGAUCGGGGCUCCAGGGUGUUUCUCCUCCCUCAGUGCUUUGCUGAGCGACAAGCCCGAGGUGAAGUUGACCAAGAGAUUCUCGACACCCAAGUCAACCCUGCCGUGUGGGAGAUAAGCGGACACAUUGUGCUCAAGAGGAGGAAGGAUUACGACAUGGCCACCGAGGACUAUGCCUGGAAGUUACUGGCUGAGGUCUCCCUUCCACAAGAGCGGUUUGACGAAGUGAAAGCAGAAUGCUUGAAGGCGGCUUUUGACGGAUGUCACCAGGGAGAUGUUGUGAACGUAGGAGCUUGCAAUGGCAUCGAGAAUGGCAACCACAAAGCCAGUGUGAAGGACAGUUUCAAGACCAGCUCUAUGGAUUCUAUUGUGCCUGGAGAAGGGGUCGGUGUGGAAGGUUAGGAGGGUUGGCCUUUUCGUCUCGACUCAGUUCAGCGACACUUGACUAUGGCCGCGUCUGUAUGUGUUAUAUGAUCUCUGUUAUGUACUUGUAUGUCGAAGUUUUUCUUGUUUGGUUUUGCCAGGAACCAUAUUUCACAUGUAUCCUGUACCAUAAGUUGGAGCUUGAGUAAGAAGUGGGUCUCAUUCCUUCAAGCAGACUACUCAAGAACUCUUAACAAUUUUUGUCACCCUUUUGGUUGGCGAACAUUUUUUAAUAUGUAGAUUCUACCAAGAUACUAGACACUGUUUUAUAUUGUCUACACGUGUAUGCUCACUUUUGGUACGACAGUUGAAUCAUGAAUGCCUCUACUUUUAAGUAUGAGAUUCAUCUCUAUUGUACUUUCUAGCGAUUUGGUGGAUUAAUAAAACUUUCAUCGUCACUGCGAUGUGACCAUGUUUAUUACUCUUUGAAAAACGAGAGCUAAAACAUUCUGUUCACUCCGAAUGUGCCUUCUACCUCAGCUAGGGUAUUUCUCAAAAUGCUAAAUAUCUUUAAGAUAGCUUAAUCUUCUAAUUACUUCAGUAUCAUAACAAAAUACUUUUAGGAGCAGUGUGAGUAUAACUAACAUAAACAAUACAUGAAUAAAUGUACCAUUUCCAGCCUAGCACGUGGCGAUCAACACCCGUGCAGAAGGGGUCAUUUCUAAACGGUACUCAUCUGAUGAGUACUCACUGAAGGAAGUCUUUCUGAUACCUCCCCGGUCUUAUACAAGUUCGAGACAUGUACACUAUCAGUUAUAUAUAUCAUUCCUUCAAAAAAAUCAUCAGUUAUCGUAUAUAGAUUAUUGCUCUUGCUUCACAAAUAUUGACUCUCAUGAUUAUUUUAAUAUGAAAAGUCUGUUUACUUUUUUUAUUUGAUGGACAUCUUGUGUGGCAUUGACCCACUUCCUAACUAACCUUCUUCCCUGCAUUGACCACCAAUAUUUUCUGCCAAAUUAGGUCAUAUUUGUCACAGAAAGUGUGCACUUUUUUCUUCUAUUUAAACAUAUUAAUGCACCUUAAUCUAUACACAAUAAACAGUUUACUUGGCCAUCUGGAACCUACUAUCUUUAAGGUAUUAUUAAUAUUCUUUUGGAAAGACUUUUUCUGUGCAAAUUAAGAUAUCAAAUAUCUUUGGCAUGGGUAAUAGAAUUGUCAUUGGUCAAUAAAAUGGUAGAAAACUAUUUUUAUUGAACAUCUGAAGUAAAGGCUAUGAAUAUCUAUGCAUUUGAUGAUUUAUAUAUCUAUGUAUAUAUAUGUGGGAAUGUUUAAUCGAUCCCAAGUUUUUAUUGAAUUGACCCACCUGUCUUAACCAUCCUCAAGAAAAAAAAAUAACCUCUAGAUUCAUUCCUCUACUAUUGGAUUUGCAAUCAAUAAAAACCAACUACAUUCAUCAUGUUUACCAUAUUCUUUAUCAAAAGUGAGUCUAUUUAGUGAAAGCAUGGGUCUAUUUGACAUUUUCUUGUAUAUAUAUAAAUAUAUAUAUAUAGACUUACUACUUCAGAUCUAACUUCUCUAAGAAAAAGUAAAAUCCAUGUCUUUGACAAUAAUAUGUUAUUUAAGUAGUCAAUGGUAAGAGACUCACAUGUCAAAAGCAAAAAUUAUGUAUAUGAAUGUAUUGUGUAUGUGAAAAUAUAUAUGAUUUUUUUUUUACCAAAAAUAUUAGUUGACUCCAUUUUAUUCAAUAAAGGCAAACAAUGGUAUCUUUGUUUUUUUAUUUUAUUAUUGUCAUGAACCUUCAUUUUGAAAUCUAACCAAAGAGUUUAACUUCUAUUAACAUGAAAAUGAUACUACAAUAUGCAAGUGGCAUAAUGACACAUAAGUUUUUAUAAAUUAAUUUAAGUAUUUUAUAAAAUAAAAAUAUUUCAAAAUAUCAAUAAAUUUUAAUGUAUUUAUAACAUUUUUUAUUUUGUUUUUUAAUUGUCAUUUUACAAAGUAUUUACAGUUGCAAUACUAUUUUAGGGGUAAGAGGCCUUAACUGUUAAAUGCUUUGAUUAGUUGAAAUUGAGAAGUUUUCUUAAGUUGGUUUUAAACUUAGAAAAUAAGUUAAAGUACUAAGAGAAAAAAAUGAGGUAGCAUGGACUUUUUUCUUACAUGACAUAAAUAAUAUUGUUCAUUUAGAAUUUCCAUUGAACCCAUCUUAAAGAGGUGAUUUUUAAACAUAUAUAAAUUUCUAAUAAAUUAGUAAUUUGGUCCAUUUAAUGGCCUUUCAAAAUGAUUUUUUAGAUAUGAAGUUCCCCUUGAAUCAAAGAAUACUUCACAAAAGUUAAUCUUCUAUACCAUAUAAUAAAAUUCUUACAUUAAUGCAUGUUUACCAAAUUAUGAUAAGAAAUAAUAGUGUUGAUGCCAUAAUAGAACUUCAUUCUCUUUGUUGGUAUAUGACUUAGUGCACAAAAAAAACUCUAACUAGAAUCCACCUUCAAUGUUCUACUUUUCCAAUCUUGACUUUUGUUUGUCAAAUUAGAAUGAAUUUGAAUUUAGUCAUUGAUGAGGUCUAAAACUAUAAAAAUUGAGUCUCCAAUAAAUUCAAACUACAAAAGAAUGGUAGGUUGUACCCAAUAUUGAAUAAUAUCCCCAAAGAAGAGAAAUCAAAUCUAAAUUGUAAAUUGUCAACUGUACCUAUGAUACUACCAAAAAUAAUAAAAAUACCAAAAUAAAUAAAUAACUGGAAUGGUGUAGUAGUGGCCAUCAAAGUCAUGUGGUGGGGGUAGCCUUGGUGGACUGAUAAGUUGUCAGUGGGAGUGAAAGCUUGUGUUUAGACAGACAAGAGCUUGAUUUGUUUUUCACAAAAUGGAGGACUUAUUCAAUUAAAUGGAUCCGCUUGUUGUUUACAAAGGACGAGGUGGCAGAGUUGCUGCUUUGUUUCUUCGUAUAUUUAUGUUAUGUUUAUGAACAAAUUUUUUCUUCAUUGUUAACUUACAUUAACUUAGCUUUUAAAUGUAUCUUUCCAUAAGAGAAUCAUUUGUAAUGUCUAGUGAAGGUUUUAAUUUUGAGUUUGAGUUUUAAUCUAGAAUUGAUAUUAUAAAUAGAUUUCUCACUUUACAACCAACUUUUCAAAAGAUAUCAAGUAUGUGUUUGUUGCACCUGAAUAACUGAUACAUUGUAAAUUAUGUAUGUUGGAUGCAUACCUUAAGAAUAUAUUUAUAAAAUUAUAUAUAUAUAUAUAUAUAUAUAUAUAUAUAUAUAUUUUCUGAGGUUUUAGACCAAUGUAUAUAACACAAAACUUUUAAUAUUGUGUACUGUUACAUCAAUUGUAAUUUUUGUGUGUUUGAAUGGUGGAAACUAAAACAUCAAUUAGUUAAAUUAUAUUAAGAUUUAAAAAGUUAGUUAAAUAUUUCAAGUAAUACAUAGUAGGUUUUAUUAAAAAAAAAAAAAAGAAAAAAAAAAAAAACAGAGAGAGAGAGAGGAAAUUCAGUUUGCUUUUUCACAAUCUGAAUAGAGCUUCCAGUCUAAUGUGUUUCAAGUAAAUUUAGAAUUUAUGAAGUUUUGUAGAAAUUUUACCAAAAUUUCCAAUCACCAAAACAAUAAUUAAUCAAAAUACUGCCUCAUGUUUAAGUAAUAAAAUAAAAUACAGCAGGUUUCUAAAGAUAAAAUUUGAAUAUGGGAAUUUGAAUUUAAUUGAAUAUAUUUACUUUUAUGCGGCACAAGAGAAUUGUAUGAACAAACUCAAAACAAAUUCUAUAUAAUGAUUCAUUAAUUAAUUUUUAAUAUAGAUAUAAUCCAAAUAUCUAUAUUCUUCUUUAAAAUAUUGACAUCUUUGAGCUUUUAGAUAUUUUAUUUGUGUAUGAAUUACAUAAUAAUCAUAGAAGUUAUUAUCUAUAAUCAAAAAAUCUUUGAAAAGUGCUUCUAUAAAAUAUGCAGUAAGUAAUAUUAUAAAAUUUAUAUUUAUAAACUAAAUAAAAAUGAUUCUUCCACAUCAAACUUAAUGAGUUUAUAAAACUAAGUUUAGAUUUUAUGUCUAUAUUUCGUAAUACAUGCACACACACAUACUUUUAUAUAUUGAUACAUUUCAAAUGUGAAAGACAAAAAGAAAUAAAAACACACAUCACAUUGAAAUGCAAUACAUUUCAUUUAAAGUGGUUAUUUUUGCAAAAAGAACAAUGUCAUGAUUUAUUUUAUUUCAUUUGAUUUUAUUUCUCACGUUAUAAAAUUGCUCCAUGUUGCAUCAUUCAAUUUACUUUACCAAAAUGACAAAAAACUACAUACAUGUUUUAACAUAUUUAUUUUAUUAAUUGAUAUAAAUUUUAUUGAGAAAUGAGAGAGUGGAACAUCCAGAAACAGACACACGGACGACUUUCAUCCACAACACACCAUAACAUACCGUCCAUCAUAACACACAACACACAACAUACCGAAAACAUCCAUCCAUCACACAGCUGUUCAUCCUCCACCACCCAAGUAUCAUUCAUCCAGUGACUUGAGUUUCGAGGCGGAAGAGUUUCGGCGCAGCCAUUGGGGGAUUGAUGGAGGCGGAUCCACAAGAUGGAGAAGAGGAAGAGGACAAGACGAGGAAGCGGAAGCGGAAGCGGAAGGCGAAGAGCAAGCAUUAAAGACAAAGGGUAUGAUGAUUCAUACAACGCCAUCACCGUGAAUGCCGCUGCUCCGCUCCGACGGAACCACAAUUCUUCACACUUUCCCACACAAAACUCACUUCACUUACUCACAAACUGACACCCUCACUCACACCCUCGCUCGCUUGGUGGCACGCGCCGCGCUCUCGAAUCCCAACAGAUCCGCCACGAAUGCAUGAGUCUCACCAUCCCCCAUCCGCUCCCCCACCCAAAACUGUAGAAUUAUCUGCCCCCCCCGCCUCCCGUCAAUAGAUUCUCGUGCGCCUUUGUCUUCCCCCACCACCUCCGCGUGUUUGUAUUAGAUCUCAUUCUCACACGCACCCUGUUUUCACGCGCUGGAGCGUUCAUGAUCCGGUUAUGCGAUGUGAUCGCGGAGAUGCCCUGUGGUGUCGCUGGUUACUCGCAUGAGAGCUUGCCUGGAAUCCCUCCCUGCUGGGCCGAACCACCUGCCUGCAAUUGAGUCCACAGUGUGCUGAAAGUACGUGCAUGCGGAGGACGCGGUGGCGUUGGGUCGUUUGGAGACGAGGGUGGGUGGGGUUUUCUGUCAUAGUUGAGAUUCGUUGUGUAUUUGGAAGAGGAUUCCGUAGAGGACGCUGUGCUGCGUCGUAAGGUUGUAGCGAAGAACAGCUUUGGAAGGGUCGUGCGUUGCGUCUGUGGAGUCAUGAAGUUGCAGUUUAAGACUUGGUGCCGUCAAUUCCCGGCCGUUGAAGCGUUUGGUUCUGGAAGGAAGUGAAGGUGGUUGUGAAUUUUCGUGUGUUUGUGGACGUUAGAAUGUGAUAUUUUAUCGUUUGGUUAGGUUUGGGGUUUAUGUUUUGGUUUUUUUUGUUUUGGAACGGCGAGGCUUGAAUCUCCGUUGCAAUCGCGUAGGGAACAAGGAUAGGAACUGGAUCAAUGGACGAUUCGUUGAAUUCACCUGCACCUCGGAAAUUGCGAGUGGCGUACACGGAGGGUAACAUCUUUCAGCCUAUCCCGGAGAAUGGAGUCUUCACCCGCUCCAGUUCCAUGCCUCGUGCGAAUCAAACUACCGCGACCUCUGCUGCCCAAUCGCGUCGCAUCGCGUCUUGCAAGCUUGGAUCUGUCCAGAAACCAGCUUCCUGGACAAGCACCUUAGAUAUCCCGGACAUAGGUCGGAGUUUGAAGAGCUCCUUCAGCUUAGGAUUUUUGUUUCCGGACGGCGACGACGAUGACGACAGCGAUGAACUUCGAGAAGCGCUUCUCCGCGACGAAGAUAGCGACGAGCAAUCAGCACUGCUUCACAAUGCGGAACACAAGGGCUAUGGGACAUGGGUUAACCAUGUGGACAUUGAAAGCAACGAAUCCCGAAGCUGCUCCAAUGGUCUAGACGGGCGUUACGCCGCUAUUCCGACUGCGCGAAGCCUACCAUCCGGUCUCGACGAUGAAGGCAAGUUAUCCAAGACGGCGAAGAAAACAUAUCAUCGAUGUCAGACGGCCCCGGCCUUGUCGAACAUGCACCGGGAGAAGAAAGGGGGGCCCAUGCUGAAACGUCCUCAAUUCGAGAAAGGGUCUGCAAUAGUUACUCAUGCCGGAAUAGGGUUGAUGAUAUACCUUGCAGUCGGGGUAGCCAUUUACGCCUGGAAAAAUGGCGAAUUCUCAGGAAUUGAGACAUCAUCCGUUGUGGACGCGCUCUACUUCUGCGUUGUCACCAUGUGUACAAUUGGCUAUGGGGACAUUGUUCCAGUGACUGCCUUCGCAAAGCUCUUCUGCUGUCUCUUUGUCUUGAUUGGUUUCGGCUUCAUCGAUGCGUUGGUUAGCGGUAUGGUGACUUAUGUCCUUGACAAACAAGAACACUUGCUUCUGAGCGCCGUUGAGGGGAGCCAUUACCGCACCGCGAAGAAGUAUUUUCUGAAUGCUAAGCACGGCAAUCGGAUGCGUAUUCGCAUGAAAGUGGGGCUGGCUCUGGGUGUUCCAGUUUUGUGCAUCAUCAUUGGCACCGUGAUGAUGGUGAAGUUCGAGGGCUUGGCGCUAGUGGAUGCAUUCUACUGUACGAUCAUGUCGAUCACGACGGUGGGUUACGGUGAUCACACAUUCAAGACGUUUUAUGGGCGCCUAUUCGCGGGGUUGUGGCUGCUGUUUAGUACCUUGGCGGUGGCGCGGUGUUUCCUGUACCUUGCAGAGGCGAGAGUUGAUAAGCGCCAUCGAUUGAUUGCGAAGUGGGUGCUGCAGAGGGAGCUUACUGUGGGGGAUUUGGUGCAAGCGGAUCUCGAUCAUGACGGUUGCAUUAGGUUCACAAACUUUCCCAUGAACUAUCUUUCCUGCUGAUUAUUUCCAGUACUUUCAUUCAAUUUUUUCUUUAACACUGAGUUCGCGAUAUAGGUGAUACGUUCCUUGACGAGGAUGUUUUGGAUUAGACUAGGAACUGUUACAUUUUUGUCAACUAAUGACCAUGCUAAGAAACCUAUUUAUACAGGAGUGUGGUUUAGAUCGGUCCAUAAAACACAAGCUUCGUGUACUUUAUUUUUAUUUUUAUUUUUAUUUAUAGCGCUUUUUUGAAUAGAGAUUUUUACGAAUAGCACAUUUUCUGAAAAGCACAUAAACGGGAUCGGAACCAGCAAGCUUGUGUUCUGCGCCAGGAUAAGUCAACAUGACAUUUUAGGUUCAUUCUGUAGUAGCCUCUUCUUGUUUCUUGUUUCUUCUUUUUUUUUUUUUUUUUUUUUUUUUUUUUGCAGUGUUCUGGAUCUUGGAUGAAAGAGCCUACUUAUCUGAUCUCUUUGUCAUGUGCGCUUUUCCAGCAAAGCAGAGUUUGUCUUGUACAAGCUUAAGGAGAUGGGGCAAAUCGGAGCCCAUGAAAUCGCUGACAUAUCUCACCAAUUUGAGCAGCUUGACGUGAACAAUGCGGGGAAAAUCACUCUCGCUCGUCUCCAAGAAGGAAAUUAAUUUCUUUUACAACUCCAUAACACCUCAGUCCCAGCUCCAUUGAAGUUUCUGAAGAGUAUCUCACUGUAAGGCUAGCCGUCCCAAGGGUGGUUCUAGGUAGUAUGCUUAUUGAUAGUCAAACUGUACAAAAUUGUGUACUAAAUGUAAUAGGUCAUUCGAGAUCCGGGUACUGACCACCUACAAUCCAAUAGACCUAUUCGAACAACAUUGUUCUGGUGUUUGUUAGUGACUGAUUGAUCAUCAUCCUUCACCAAGUAGCUCUUUCUUCCUACGAUUUGGUCACAUGACGAAGUUAUGGCCAGGCAAUCCUCUUGUUCACGAUGGCUCCAAGAAACAAAACCUGUGAGAAUUCCACUCCUCUAAACUCUUUGUUUAUGCUUUUGCUUAUCUAUGAUGGUGCUGAUGCUUAAAGUAGGCUGGAUUGUUACUUAUGGGUUGUGUACUAGAAGCACCCUGUGUCUGAUAUUAACAGAGGUUUUGAGGUUUCUCAUUACCAGGGUGUCUGAAAUGAAGUUGGCAUCGUGUUAUUGUUUCUCAGAGCUGAUGUUGUUCGUUUGUCUUGAUGCUUGUUGGAUACAAAAUCUCAUACAAGGUUCUGAUUCGCAUGUUAAAUACCGCUCUGCUUUUGCCACCGUUCUAACACUUUUGGUGUGAAACAUCUGUACAGGGAAAUUAUAUGCACAAAUGUACUAGUGCAAGCCUGGAGCCACGAUUGUUGUCUACCUUCGGUCAACUCAACGCUGAGGUGAUAGAUACAAUUUGGGUUGUAAAACUCAAUUAUUGUGUUGUAACAAUUGAUGGAUCUUAUGUGUGUCACUAUUUUGGUGUGAUCAUUUUGGUAAUGUGGUUCACAUCGGUGCAUAUUUACAAAGAAUGUAUUAAUUGACAUCUGUUCUCCCAAAUGCCAUCCAAAAUGCUUCAUCAUCCAUUCUUUGAUAUCUUGCAGGUAAUAACUGAACUGUUAAAUAUGGGCAUUUACGAACAAUCUCCGACUAUCAUUUUUGUUUGUUGUUGGAUUAUUUUAUUACAAGAUGCUAAUAUAUCUAUCUAUCCAUCUCUCUAUCUAUCUAGAGGAUUUUGGAUGUGACAGAUAGCCUUCUUUAAACUUUUAGAAGUUUGAAUAUUUUUUAUAUUCUUUCAAACAUCUUUUAUAUACCCUAAUAGCAUCUAUAGAUUCUUUAAAUUUUAAAAGUAGUUUAUGGUUCAUGAAAUCUUCAGGUCUUUUCAAUAGAAUAACUAAAAUGUGUAUAUUGUGUAGUAAAAAUAGUGAUAGCAUGAGAAUACUUUAAUCUUACAAAUAAGUUUUGUAACAAUUCAAACUUGUCUAAUGUGUUCCAUAAUUUUAGCUCCUUUAUUUACUUGAAGUUUUAUGUUUAAGAAGAAGCUAUUAAAUUUGGACAAUAAGUAAACAAAUCACAAAUGUUUUUCAUUAUCUUGAUAUCUUCACAUGUCUGGGUUAGUGUUUUUUCGGGAUGUAUAAUCAAUUUGAAAAUAAAUUUCAAAAGAUGAACAAGUAAAUGGAGCCCAUAUUAUCUACAAUUGUGUGCUGCAAAAAUCAAGUAUGUUGGCUCUUUUUGAAGUUGAUUAAAGAUGUGUAUGUUUUGAUGGAAGUUAAAAAUGUCUUACUUUUUUAAAAAUUAAAUAUUUACCAUCUAUUUUUUAUUACUUCAAAAUAUAUAUUUCAUUUACCUGAUGGAAAAUAGAAAAAUACUAUAUAUACAUACAAUGCAAACCCACAGUAAUCUAUGUUUUUUCAAUUAAAUUAAUGAAUAUAGCCAAAACUACAUCUGGUUAUCACCCACAUGUGGUUAGAAUCCUUCUGGUGCAAAACCUCUAUUUUGAUAUUACUUAUUUAUUACUAAUAAAUUUAGGUUAUCUACUUAAUCUACAUGUAAUUAUGCAAGAAAUAAAGAUAAAUCUUUGGUUACAAUUCAUCCAAUACGAAAAUAUUAAUUCUACUUCUUUACAA
rnacentral:lncRNA from 1 species